rnacentral:rRNA from 1 species
GUGUUUGGGGUAAGGCCCGAACACCAAAGCCUUCGGGCGCUUGAGGAGGGGCUUGCGGCCUAUCAGGUAGUUGGUGAGGGUAACGGCCCACCAAGCCGAUGACGGGUAGCUGGUUUGAGAGGAUGAUCAGCCACAUUGGGACUGAGACACGGCCCAGACUCCUACGGGAGGCAGCAGCAGGGAAUAUUGCGCAAUGGGCGAAAGCCUGACGCAGCAACGCCGCGUGGGUGAAGAAGGCCUUCGGGUCGUAAAGCCCUUUUCCUGGGGAAGAAGCACUGACGGUACCCAGGGAAUAAGCCUCGGCUAAUCACGUGCCAGCAGCCGCGGUGAUACGUGAGAGGCGAGCGUUAUCCGGAUUUACUGGGCGUAAAGGGCGUGUAGGCGGUCGGGUAAGUCCUUUGUGAAAUCUCCCGGCUUAACCGGGAGGGGUCAAAGGAGACUGCUCAACUUGAGGGUAGCAGGGGGAGAUGGAAUUCUCGGUGGAGCGGUGAAAUGCGUAGAUAUCGAGAGGAACACCAGUGGCGAAGGCGAUCUCCUGGGCUAUACCUGACGCUGAGGCGCGAAAGCGUGGGGAGCAAACAGGAUUAGAUACCCU